CUAAGCAUUGUGGGAUUUGCAGUUCUUCGAGCAGGUAGCUGUGGAAAUUAAGUGACACCAUCCAACCGACUAAACUCUACUCGCUCACAGCGGCUUCCUGAAGCAGGCACAACACAUGAGAGAAAGAGUGCAAGCUACUAAAUUUUGUCAAGAUUACCCAUCUCUUAGGACUGCGUGGAAAGUCUCCUGAACCAACUAAUAGCUCUUCAUGGUGCUAUUCUGGAUGUCUUCUCUCGGACUGGCCCAGUUCGAUUCCACUCCUGGAAGUUCUCAGAUUACUACUCCUGCUGCAAAGUUUCAGUGCAUAUGCAGAGCAGUUGAAGUUUGGACAGAAAGAAAACAUGAAGAAAACAGCUCCAUGUGUAUCAAUUGGCCUUGUAGUUGGACACUAUUGGAAUAACUUUAUCCAGAUUGGCAACCAGAAGUAUGAAGCAAGAUAUUCAAGAAUUGAUCAAAACUCCAAAGUGUGAGGAAAACACCACUUUCUCUUUAGCAUCCUCACUCCUGACCACAAAAAGAGAUAUUUGUCCACAGUCUCCAUCCGUAGUGUCUCAGCACUGUACUUCAAGAACAACAGCAAGCACUCCAUUCCUCCACAGACAAUAGCAAAUGGCGGCCCCUCCUGUCCUACUCGCAGAACAGAAAGCAUCAUCCCCUCCUGCCUUUCCCCUAUAUCCACAGACACUCAUAAUGUAAGUUGCCAGACAGUCCUCCCUUGUCCCCUGUGAUGCCUGUGCUCAGGUCCAGUCCAGCCUGAGGGAGACUGGUGAUGCUCUUGUGGAGCUGUGUCGGAGCGAGGGCCUUCCCACCUCUCUGCAGCGCCUCCUGGUGGCUGUGGAUGACACUAUGUAGCAGGGCCGUCUGGCUGUAGGAGAUGUGUCCCAGUGGUCCACAGAACAGCACAGGGACAUGGGUCAGGUGGGAAAGCAUCUGCUGAAGGUGCAGGGCUCAGCUGGGGGAGGGAACAGGAGGAACUAAAGCGUGAAUGGGCAAAGGACCAAGCAAUACUUUAGGAGGCCCAGGCAUCCAGGAAGGAGACAGAGAGGAGACUGCAGGACGAACAUGAGGAGCUGAGGCUCCAUGUCCCUGGACAAUAGCAACUCCAAACUGAAGGCAGAGAUUAGUUUGCAACAAAAAAGGUUACAAACUCGAGUGUGAGAGAGAUAAGCUACAUCAGGAAGUGAAGGCCUUGCAGGUGGAGGAAGAGGCACAGAAUAAACAAGAGGAGAAGACACAAACACUGGAGGCUCAACUGUCCAGUACUCGGCUCUUACUUGACAAAGAGAACUCCAAGUACCAGAAUGCAUGUCACCAACAGGAGUCACUGCAGGCCAAGCAGAUGUCUCUAUUGGAGAGAGUGGAUGCUCUGGACCAGGAGUGUGAGAAGCUUCAAGGACAGUUGGGGGAGACUGAGGACACACAGACAGGCUUACAGGAUAGACUGACACACAUCUCAGAGGAGAAGGACCAACUUAAAACCCAGCUCACCCAAUAACAAGUACAUUACUACCAGACAGAUGUGACUCAACACAAUAUUAAGCACAAUGAAAUGUUCCACGUUAUAGUUCUGCUUGCAUACGUUGGGCAGAGCCAUACUUCAGCAUAGCAGAUACAGUAUAUAAAUAUGAUCCCAUUUCAUUUUCAAAGAACAAUAAUGUGUAUGUAAUUAAUGGCCUUGCCUCUGCAGUCCCUGAGGCCUUGUGUUCUGAGCUGCAGCAGGAGAAGCAGAGAUUGGAGAGUCAUGUGAACAAGCCGAAAGACAGUUUGGAUCAGCUGAGAGGAGAGGUGCAGGAGUUAGCACAGAGGGAGAGGCUGCUGGUGGCAUUCCCAGAGCUCAACCCACUGCCUCAGGGACCGCCACAGAGUAGGAUCACUUCCCUAAAUAACUCAGAGCAUUUUCUGUAUGUUAACCACAAUGUUGACUUUACUUGUACAACCUGUAUUGUUUGUAUUGUAUUGUUUGUUCAUGUGGGUUUACUUGCAUAUGGUUUCAAAUAUAAAUACCAGUAUUACAAGCAUAGACCGAGUUACAACUCCAGUGCAUUUGGAAAGUAUUCAGUCCCCUUGAAUUUUUCCACAUUUUGUUACUUUACAGCCUUAUUCUAAAAAGUAUUAAAGAAAACAUUUUCCUCAGCAAUCUACACACAAUACCCCAUAAUGACAAAGCGAAAACAGGCUUUUUGAAAUUUUUGCAAAUGUAUUAAAAAUAAGAAACUCAGAAUUGAGCUCAGGUGCAUCCUGUUUCCAUUGAUCUUCCUUGAGAUGUUUUUAAAACUUGAUUGGAGUCCACUUGUGGUAAAUUCAAUUGAUUGGACAUGAUUUGGAAAGGCACACACCUUUCUAUAUAAGGUCCCACAGUUGACAGUGAAUGUCAGAGCAAAAACCAAGCCAUAAGGUCGAGGAAUUGUCCGUAGAGCUCAUAGAAAGGAUUGUGUCGAGGCACAGACCUGGGGAAGGGUACUAAAAAUAUUAUGCAGUAUUGAAGCUCCCCCAAAACACACUGGCCUCCAUUAUUCUUAAAUUGUUUUUAUCCCUUUCUCUCCCCAAUUUCGUGGUAUCCAAUUAUUAGUUACAGUCUUGUCUCAUCGCUGCAACUCCGGUAAGGCCUCGGGAGAGGCGAAGGUCGAGAGCCGUGCGUCCUCCGAAACACCACCCACCCAAACCGCACUGCUUCUUGACACAAUCCGGGGAUAAUACUUCAAAACUGCUGCUGGAGAACUACAGAUAUAACCUCUCUCAGCAGCUUUGGAUUCUCCCAGUCUGCCUGACGCUCCCAGAGAGAGACAGCUAAAUCCCACCCCCUACGUACAACACAGCCCUCUACAGACCUCCAGUGCAGGAGUGUUGAAACAUUGAUUGCGGAGGAAGGGAGCAGACAAAGGGGAUUCCAUCCCUGUGGUGAUGGGGCCUUGGGAUCACGUCUCUGCCACUUUCUCUACAGCUCUGGUGCAUCAGCGGACUCUACGGCUCUCCCCAGACACCAGCGCAGCCAGAACCUAAGCAAAGAUACGCCAGGCGUCCCAAACAUGCUCUUUCUCCAGAGGAAGAAAUAAAUCCAGCACUGGGUGAUCAACCUCAUGUUGACCAUUUUUGGAGCAUAGUAAUGCCGAAAGAGGCUGAGGCAGAGGCUGUUAGAAGUAUAUGUCAGGCUUCUCCAUCAGGAGACUGCAGUAAGGCAUUGCAUUGUAGCUCAUACACAUAGUUGUUUGUGUAUCAGCUGAGGCAGAUGCAGAAAAGUUAUGGAGUUCAAGAUCUUGGCAACAUUGAGCUGGCUUGAAGUUGCUAUUUAACUGAAAAUGAAUUUGAUUAAUUCACAAACUGGUAUCAUGUUUUUCUUUCUUGAACUGUUGUGUUAAUCACUUUGCUACUUUGGAUUGCAAAUGUGCAUUUGUUGACUUCAUGCAUUUAGAAAAACAGUUUUACCUAGUUUAGAAUGGUAAAGCAAUAAGACAGCAUAACGAGCCUAUCAAAGCACAUUCAUUAUUUAAACUCAAAGAAUCUGGUCAUGCACAAACACACACUAAAAAUAAGUGUCUUAAAAUGAUCAGUCUAGAAAAGGGAGAGGCUAGGUAAAAGACAAGCCAUGGUGUGUGUCUGUGUGUUUAGCUAAGUGUGUGGUCUUCUAAAGGCUCUACUAUUGUGUCACCAACACAAUGCCACGAAUGCAGAUGUGUCUAAUGAUUUACAGAGUACUCUGUUGAGGGAGGGGUAAGUUCCUAUGGCAACAUUGAUGAUCAGAGCAUGACAUCUUGUGUGGGUUCCCUCCUGUCCUUACUGUCAGUCCAACCCUUCACCUAUUAAGGAGUAUACUUGAUGGUAGACCAACCAAUUCAUUGUGAAGUAUGCUUCCCAUGGCAUGUUAGGGUGCAAUAUUUUUGUCCUUUGUAUUUCCUUGCACUAGAAAUGCCAAAUUACUUUUCUGAAGGUGGGUUGUAGUCAUGGAGAUACAUGUGAAAAGCCCCGUAGAUCCAGACUGGAUAUUGACUACACCUGAAACUAUGCAAUUCAAGCCCAUAUUAUUGUUCAUGCCUGUUCAAAUGUUUCUGCAUGAGUUCAGUGGUAGCACAAUACUGGGUUUCAUUUUCAGGGAUAUACCUAGAUACUGAAGUAUUUGCGGAAUGCAGAUGUACUAAUGAAAGCAAUAAUUUCUUUGCCCACUAACUCACGAAUCCUUCUCCUCAGAGACAAACUUGCUUGAUCAAGUCUAACCUUGGACCUCAGAGUUCAGUCUUUCAGUUGAGCCAAUUAUACAGCUGUGUCAUCCCUCAAGCAUGUAAUUGAGAUGUG